rnacentral:rRNA from 1 species
GACAUGAGUCAGGCAAGGCUACCCGCUGAAUUUAAGCAUAUAAGUAAGCGGAGGAAAAGAAACCAAAUGGGAUUCCCCUAGUAAUGGCGAAUGAACAGGGAUCAGCUCAAAUUGAGAAUCGUCGCCAUCUUGAUAUGGCGGUGAAUUGUAGUCUGAAGGUGGUUACCAGUGAGGACGCCAGAGUAAUUCUCUUGGGAUAGAGCUUCGUAGAGGGUGAGAUACCCGUCUGCCUCUAGCUUUCUCCUCACGUACGGUAGCACCCUAAUGAGUCGCGUUCCUCGGAAUUGGAGCGCUAAGUAGGUGGUAAAUUUCACCUAAAGCUAAAUAUUGAACCGAGACCGAUAGUAAACAAGUACCGUGAGGGAAAGGUGAAAAGGACUUUGGAAAGAGAGUUAAAAGUGCCUGAAAUCGCUGGAAUGUAAGCGAAUGGAACUAGUUCCAGCCAGUGAGAUUGCAUGCAGAAGCUAGUCAGGCCCUUUGCUGUUUCGUCUACUUAUUUUAUAGGUGGAGUUCGUAGGGGUGCUCUUUGGUUAGUUGAUGUGUGCGAUACUCGCUGGAGGACGUCAACAUCAGUGCAAUUGUAAAGGGAUAUUGAAUGGGGUCUCUUUAGGGAUCCUUACGGGUCUCUAUACCCAUUUUAAUUGUUUACUUUUCGUACUGAGGACAUAAUCUUAAGCGUUUGGAGGUGUCAGCGAUGUCACAAAUACCUUUCGUGUAUUAUUUUAUCGUGAAGGCUGGGUCCACUGCUUGCACUGUGGGCUUUUCUCAGCGGUAAGUGUCGUCGCUUAUCUUUCAUUCCACGAUGUUGACUAAAUGGUUCUAUCCGACCCGUCUUGAAACACGGACCAAGG